GGACGAACGCUGGCGGCGUGCCUAACACAUGCAAGUCGAACGAGAUCCAUGGGAGCUUGCUCCCGGAAGAUCUAGUGGCGAACGGGUGAGUAACACGUGAGAAACCUGCCCUGGAGUGGGGAAUAACUCGGGGAAACUCGAGCUAAUACCGCAUACCCUCGGAUGGUCGCAUGGCCGACCGAGGAAAGAUUUAUCGCUCUAGGAGGGUCUCGCGGCCUAUCAGCUAGUUGGUGGGGUAACGGCCUACCAAGGCAACGACGGGUAGCUGGUUUGAGAGAACGAUCAGCCACACUGGGACUGAGACACGGCCCAGACUCCUACGGGAGGCAGCAGUGGGGAAUCUUGCGCAAUGGGCGAAAGCCUGACGCAGCAACGCCGCGUGCGGGAUGACGGCCUUCGUGGUUGUAAACCGCUUUCAGCAGGGACGAAAAUGACGGUACCUGCAGAAGAAGCCCCGGCUAACUACGUG
rnacentral:rRNA from 1 species